GAAAUGCGAUAAGUAGUGUGAAUUGCAGAAUUCAGUGAAUCAUCGAAUCUUUGAACGCACAUUGCGCCCGCCAGUAUUCUGGCGGGCAUGCCUGUUCGAGCGUCAUUUCAACCAUCAAGCCCCGGGCUUGUGUUGGGGACCUGCGGCUGCCGCAGGCCCUGAAAAGCAGUGGCGGGCUCGCUGUCACACCGAGCGUAGUAGAUCUCAUCUCGCUCAGGGCGUGCUGCGGGUUCCGGCCGUAAAACAGCCUCAUAAGCACCCAAGGUUGACCUCGGAUCAGGUAGGAAGACCCGCUGAACUAAA
rnacentral:misc_RNA from 1 species